rnacentral:lncRNA from 1 species
GUAGGGGAGGUGCUUUUCUUGUUUUGGCCUGUGUUUAAAAGGCCUCUUUUUCAGGGUAGGCUUCUAGGAGAGUCUUGGAGAGCAUGUUCAGUCCCUAAGUCUGGUCCUGGGGAGUGUGUGUUUUGAGAUUGUGCUCAUCCCCUGUGCUCUUUCUCUACCCCAUCCUAGGUGCAGCUGAAUGCCGGCCAGUUGCAGUAUAUCCGCUUAGCCCAGCCUGUAUCAGGCACCCAAGUUGUGCAGGGACAGAUCCAGACCCUUGCUACCAAUGCCCAACAGAUCACACAGACAGAGGUCCAACAAGGACAGCAGCAGUUCAGCCAGUUCACAGACGGACAGCAGCUGUACCAGAUCCAGCAAGUCACCAUGCCUGCAGGCCAAGACCUUGCCCAGCCCAUGUUUAUUCAGUCAGCCAACCAGCCCUCUGAUGGGCAGACCCCCCAGGUGACUGGAGACUGAGGCCUGAGCUGCAAAGCCAAGGACCCCCAACACAAUAUUUGCCAUAGAGCCCCCAGGCGAUGGGGACACACCUUCCC